rnacentral:rRNA from 1 species
AGGGUUCGAUUCUGGCUCAGGAUGAACGCUGGCGGCGUGCUUAACACAUGCAAGUCGAACGGGAUCCAUCAAGCUUGCUUGGUGGUGAGAGUGGCGAACGGGUGAGUAAUGCGUGACCGACCUGCCCCAUACACCGGAAUAGCUCCUGGAAACGGGUGGUAAUGCCGGAUGCUCCGACUCCUCGCAUGGGGUGUCGGGAAAGAUUUCAUCGGUAUGGGAUGGGGUCGCGUCCUAUCAGGUAGUCGGCGGGGUAACGGCCCACCGAGCCUACGACGGGUAGCCGGCCUGAGAGGGCGACCGGCCACAUUGGGACUGAGAUACGGCCCAGACUCCUACGGGAGGCAGCAGUGGGGAAUAUUGCACAAUGGGCGCAAGCCUGAUGCAGCGACGCCGCGUGCGGGAUGACGGCCUUCGGGUUGUAAACCGCUUUUGAUCGGGAGCAAGCCUUCGGGUGAGUGUACCUUUCGAAUAAGCACCGGCUAACUACGUGCCAGCAGCCGCGGUAAUACGUAGGGUGCAAGCGUUAUCCGGAAUUAUUGGGCGUAAAGGGCUCGUAGGCGGUUCGUCGCGUCCGGUGUGAAAGUCCAUCGCUUAACGGUGGAUCUGCGCCGGGUACGGGCGGGCUGGAGUGCGGUAGGGGAGACUGGAAUUCCCGGUGUAACGGUGGAAUGUGUAGAUAUCGGGAAGAACACCAAUGGCGAAGGCAGGUCUCUGGGCCGUUACUGACGCUGAGGAGCGAAAGCGUGGGGAGCGAACAGGAUUAGAUACCCUGGUAGUCCACGCCGUAAACGGUGGAUGCUGGAUGUGGGGCCCGUUCCACGGGUUCCGUGUCGGAGCUAACGCGUUAAGCAUCCCGCCUGGGGAGUACG